CUGGAUCCCCUCGUUACAAUAUUAGCUGCACUUCACUGAGAAGUCUAAUGCUUUAAAUUCUGCUAAAAUGGCCUCCCAACCCCUGCAACUGCAGGGGGAAAAAUCCUGGCCAAAUAAAGGAUCUGUGAAAAGAAACAUCUCUUUUUAUAUGACACCCUGUUAGCCUUAAUAACAGUUUUCUCUCUGUAAGUGCAGUAAAGUAUGGAAAUAUUGCUGUGCUACAUGGUGCAAUUUUCUGACAGUGAUUUUCUCUGAUAAAAGCCUUCAGAGAGUGCAUUUUCCUUCCCACUUAUCUGCCAUCAAAAGGCAGCAAAUACAUUCAGCUGUCACUCUAAACAAAAUAUACAAUUACUCUGGGUUGAUGUUUUAAGCAGAAAUAAUUUCCAUAGCAAAAACCCCUGCAGCUAUUUCCUGAAUGCUGUGGUGUUUGCUUCUAGCUUUUAGCAUUACACAUGUAUCACCUGUUUUGGACAUUUGAAUGCAAAGAUGAGAUAUCACAAGUUAAAACUUAGCACUUGCCAAAUUAAAUAUUUGCUGGGCUGAGCCCAGUUCAUUCCUUGACUGCUGUUUUGCACCAGAGAAUGAAAAAUCUUUUCUAACAUGCCAAAGGUGGUUAUUUUAGGAAGCUGACGAAGAGGGCAGAUGUUAUUCAAGUGGUUGGAUAAGAAAAGGAAAUAGUACAUGUUAAGCCUUCUGUAAUAACCAGGGCUGAGCCUAAAAAUAAUAGUAAAAGUCAACUUAUCUUGGUAAAACAAAUAAAACUUUCUCUUUUUUUA